UACGGGGGGAGCAAGCGUUGUUCGGAUUUACUGGGCGUAAAGGGCGCGUAGGCGGCCUUCUAAGUCGGACGUGAAAGCCCCAGGCUUAACCUGGGAACUGCGUCCGAUACUGGAAGGCUUGGAUUCGGGAGAGGGAUGUGGAAUUCCAGGUGUAGCGGUGAAAUGCGUAGAUAUCUGGAGGAACACCGGUGGCGAAGGCGGCAUCCUGGACCGAGAUCGACGCUGAGGCGCGAAAGCUAGGGGAGCAAACGGG
rnacentral:rRNA from 1 species